GGAGGGUGCGAGCGUUAUCCGGAAUUACUGGGUUUAAAGGGUGCGUAGGCGGCCAUGUAAGUCAGGAGUGAAAGUUUGCGGCUCAACCGUAAAAUUGCUUUUGAUACUGCAUGGCUGGAAUCAGGAUGAGGUCAGCGGAAUGUGGCAUGUAGCGGUGAAAUGCAUAGAUAUGCCAUAGAACACCAAUUGCGAAGGCAGCUGGCUAGACCUGUAUUGACGCUGAGGCACGAAAGCGUGGGGAGCGAACAGGAUUAGAUACCCUGGUAGUCCACGCCCUAAACGAUGCUUACUCGACGUAUGGCACUAGUUGUUGUGCGUCCAAGGGAAACCGUUAAGUAAGCCACCUGGGGAGUACGACCGCAAGGUUG
rnacentral:rRNA from 1 species